AGGUAUACAACGGUGCUUUUAGUUUUACCUCUGGAAACGGUCUUCGAAGGAGCUCAAUUCUUUUCUGCCAAGACUUCUAUCGGCGAUCGUUUAACGUCAAAUGGCAAAUGUUUACCGGCAGGCCUGGUGGCGUCAAUCAACUCUGCCUACCUUGAGAACAUUAGCCGCAAAUCUAGUGAUUUAUCGGCAGCACAAUCGUAAGAUUUUUUUCUAUCAAAUAAAUUUAAACUUGGCUGUUUUUUGUUUGUUAAGGGCAUACAAUUCAUAAAAUAAUAUAAGUCUUGAUUUAACAUAGUUUAUUACGAAACCAGGGUAAUACAAUAAAGUUCCUUAAGAGACAUUGAGACAGAGACCCGAGGGGCUGGGGGCUGCGACGCCCUCAACCCCUCGGGCACAGCAUUUCCCGCAGAGUCGCAUGCAGAACUAAACGAGUUUCCACCUGCGGCUAGUAGGCCCUGUUUUCUCUGUCACGAUUUUCUCUGUCUCUGCGUUGGCGGCCCCAAUCCUGGCCCUGACGAUUGUAAUUCUGACGCUCACGGAAGUUGCCCUGGCCACCGCCGCCUCCACCUCUGACGAAGAAGUUGCCUUGCUUCAUUUCGAAGAUUCGCUCGUUUGAGUCGACCAGGUUGUUGACCUUGUCGACAAGCUGCAGCGCGAUCGACUGCAGCCUGCUCGGCUCAGAGCGGUGCAUCACGACCGACUGCGUUGGGUCGUCCAGCGAGGCCAUCAGUUCCUCGUUGAUGAUCAUUUUGCUGAUAACUGAGUGCACUACAGGCUUGUCCAGCUCAAACAUCUGCGAGAGCUUCUCCAUCGAGAUUGAGUCAUAGACGUUUGAGUAUGUGAACAGAUACGUGCGCAGCGACUCCUCCUGGAUCAGCCUCUUCAGCAUUGUGCGAACCUUG